GGAUAACCUGCCCUAUUGCCUGGAAUAACCUCGGGAAACUGAGAACAAUACCGGAUAACCCACAAUGCCUGGAACGGUUUGUGGGUGAAGAUAGGAUGGGUCUGCGGCGUAUCAGGUCGUAGGGGGUGUAAUGGACCUCCUAGCCAUCGACGCGUACGGGUGUUGGGAGACAUAGCCCGGAGAUGGAUUCUGAGACACGAAUCCAGACCCUACGGGGUGCAGCAGGCGCGAAAACUUCACACUGCAGGAAACUGUGAUGAGGGAACUCCAAGUGCAUGCACUAUGUGUAUGCUUUUCUUAACUAUUAAUCGGUUUUGGAAUAAGGGCUGGGAAAGACCGGUGCCAGCCGCCGCGGUAAUACCGGCAGCUCAAGUGGUCGUCGCUUUUAUUGGGCCUAAAACGUCCGUAGCCUGUUUGGUAAAUCUGUGGGUAAAUCAACCAGCUUAACUGGUUGAAUUCUGCAGAGACUGCCAGACUUGGGACCGGGAGAGGUGUGGGGUACUCUAGGGGUAGGGGUAAAAUCCUGUCAUCCUUAGAGGACCACCAGUUGCGAAGGCGCCACACUGGAACGGAUCCGACGGUCAGGGACGAAGCCUAGGGGCACGAACCGGAUUAGAUACCCGGGUAGUCCUAGGUGUAAACGCUGUGAACUUGGUGUCGGGGAUCCGUAAUGGGUCCUCGGUGCCGGAGUGAAGAUGUUAAGUUCACUGCCUGGGGAGUACGGUCGCAAGGCUGAAACUU
rnacentral:rRNA from 1 species